CUCAUUUUCCACGGGAAGGAGGGAGAAAUUAUGACCGAGAGCCUGACACCUGAUGCUAGCGGCUUUUGUCUCGCCAAGUUGACCCAGUAUUUGGCCACCUUGUGCGGCGGGUGACUAUGGUGUCCCGGUAUAUAUAUGUAUUACCUGAAAGCCCAGGGCAGUUGUUGCCUUGGGUCAUGCAGAGAAUAUGCAGCCACACCCAUGCCUUAGAUGUGUGUAAUUCAAGUGGAGAAGACACAAGCCAGUGGUCGCAAUAUCAACACUUGAGUGUUCUGUAAACGAUUAAUGUUUGCCAUGUGCAAAGAAAUGGCAGAGGCAAAAUGCUGCCGGCUUAUGGAAAAAUAAUUUAUAAAAAAGUGAUGGGUUAGUUCUGCCAAAUUUGAGUAAGUGAGAACACGAGAAACCAUAUUCUGUUAGAGCCUGAGAAAAGGAAAGAAAGUCAAACGGUGAGUCUAACCUCAUUUAUUCCAGGAUUGGUGUCAGCAGAAAACCAACAGUGAUGUGGUGGCACACAGUGAACUGACCAGACCCAGGCAGCAGCGGCUCUUUUGGUGGCAAUGGUGCCAUGUCAUGGGUACUCUCCUUGCUGAUGGCAGAUACCGACAGGCAAACUGUUGCCUUGCGUUUAGCUCUGUUAACCAUUGACAGUAAGGUAAGCAUGUCUUCAGCGUUCAUAGCU
ensembl:lincRNA 2900076A07Rik RIKEN cDNA 2900076A07 gene